rnacentral:rRNA from 1 species
GAUGAACGCUGGCGGCGUGCCUAAUACAUGCAAGUCGAGCGAACGGACGAGAAGCUUGCUUCUCUGAUGUUAGCGGCGGACGGGUGAGUAACACGUGGAUAACCUACCUAUAAGACUGGGAUAACUUCGGGAAACCGGAGCUAAUACCGGAUGAUAUUUUGAACCGCAUGGUUCAAAAGUGAAAGACGGUCUUGCUGUCACUUAUAGAUGGAUCCGCGCUGCAUUAGCUAGUUGGUAAGGUAACGGCUUACCAAGGAAACGAUGCAUAGCCGACCUGAGAGGGUGAUCGGCCACACUGGAACUGAGACACGGUCCAGACUCCUACGGGAGGCAGCAGUAGGGAAUCUUCCGCAAUGGGCGAAAGCCUGACGGAGCAACGCCGCGUGAGUGAUGAAGGUCUUCGGAGCGUAAAACUCUGUUAUUAGGGAAGAACAUAUGUGUAAGUAACUGUGCACAUCUUGACGGUACCUAAUCAGAAAGCCACGGCUAACUACGUG